rnacentral:rRNA from 1 species
UACGGAGGGUGCAAGCAUUAAUCGGAAUUAUUGGGCGUAAAGGGCGCGUAGGCGGAAUUGCAUGUCUGACGUGAAAUACCGGGGCUUAACCUCGGUGCUGCAUCAGAAACUACAAUUCUAGAGGGUGGACGGAGAAAACGGAAUUCCACAUGUAGCGGUGAAAUGCGUGGAUAUGUGGAAGAACACCGGUGGCGAAAGCGGUUUUCUAGUUUAUUCCUGACGCUGAGGCGCGAGAGCAAGGGGAGCAAACAGG